rnacentral:snoRNA from 1 species
GUCUUACACUUGAUCUCUAAGGUAAGUUCAUGUGUUGACAAGGGUUGCUCUCAUUAGAGAGCC